GCAGGUCCCAAGGGUUCGGCUGUUCGCCGAUUAAAGUGGUACGUGAGCUGGGUUUAGAACGUCGUGAGACAGUUCGGUCCCUAUCUGCCGUGGGUGUUGGAGACUUGAGAGGAGCUGCCCCUAGUACGAGAGGACCGGGGUGGACGCACCACUGGUGGACCUAUUGUCGUGCCAACGGCAGUGUAGGGUAGCUAUGUGCGGACAGGAUAACCGCUGAAAGCAUCUAAGCGGGAAGCCCCCCUCAAAACAAGGUCUCCCUUGAGGGCUGUGGAAGACUACCACAUCGAUAGGCUGGAGAUGUAAGCACAGUAAUGUGUUCAGUUGACCAGUACUAAUCGCCCGAUAGGCUUGAUACG
rnacentral:rRNA from 1 species